CCUGAUGACGAAACCGAAGCCCAGGAGGAGGUGCAGAGGCUCGACGACGCCGCGACUGUCCCUGGAGACGCCUUGGCCGCCUUUUUCGAUGAUGAGGCGGAGCUUCCCCCCCUCGGGGCUCGAGGACCUGAGUAGACAGGACAAUAGAUUUCUUAGUUUUUCUUUUUUCUUUUUGUGGGUGUUGAGGCCAGUAGGCCUUGUAUUAUACAAUGUUUAAUGUUGAAUACAAAUAUUCGUGUAAUUGCUCUUUAAGCUGUUUUCUCUUUCCUUAUGCCGAUCCGACCUCGGCAGCGCGAGGUCGGGUAAGCUCCUUAGAGUUUUGCGCUAGCCAGAGUCCCCGAUCCUAAGUGCUUUUCCUUUUUCCUUAGUAACUCGUGGAAGUCCGAAUUCGUUCCCCGAAUCCAAGGUGAGUAGAGGCGGUCUUUGCUCGUGAGCACAGAUCCUUCCUCGGGCUCAUGCCUUAAGGUUUAGGGGACGGAUUUUUGGUUUCUUAAGUCUUUUUAGGAGGGAGGAGGAAGACCUCGGGUCGGGGUUCUUUUAACUUGCGUGAAAAAAGAGAAAGGUUC
rnacentral:lncRNA from 1 species